GUGUCAGCAGCCGCGGUAAUACAGAGGCCUCAAGCGUUAGGCGGAAUCACUGGGCUUAAAGCGUGUGUAGGCGGGUCGUUAAGUACCUUGUGAAAUCCCACGGCUUAACUGUGGAACGGCUUGGUAUACUGGCGAUCUUGAGCCACUUAGGGGCUACCGGAACAGAUGGUGGAGCGGUGAAAUGCGUAGAUAUCAUCUGGAACGCCAAUGGUGAAAACAGGUAGCUGGGAGUGUGCUGACGCUGAGACACGAAAGCCAGGGGAGCGAACGGGAUUAGAUACCCGAGUAGUCC
rnacentral:rRNA from 1 species